rnacentral:tRNA from 1 species
AUGGAUUGAAGCUCCAUGUGUCGGCAGUUCGACUCUGUCCUGAACCAUUUCUUAGCCGGCCUAGCUCAAUUGGU